CAGUAGCCGCGGUAAUACGUAGGUGGCAAGCGUUGUCCGGAAUUAUUGGGCGUAAAGGGCUCGCAGGCGGUUUCUUAAGUCUGAUGUGAAAGCCCCCGGCUCAACCGGGGAGGGUCAUUGGAAACUGGGAAACUUGAGUGCAGAAGAGGAGAGUGGAAUUCCACGUGUAGCGGUGAAAUGCGUAGAGAUGUGGAGGAACACCAGUGGCGAAGGCGACUCUCUGGUCUGUAACUGACGCUGAGGAGCGAUAGCGUGGGGAGCGAACAGGAUUAGAUACCCCUGUAGUCCCUGUCUCUUAUAC
rnacentral:rRNA from 1 species